rnacentral:rRNA from 1 species
UGGACCUCAGAUCAGGCAAGAUUACCCGCUGAGUUUUAA